UACGUAGGGGGCUAGCGUUGUCCGGAUUUAUUGGGCGUAAAGAGCGUGUAGGCGGCCAGGUAGGUCUGCUGUGAAAACUCGAGGCUCAACCUCGAGACGUCGGCGGAAACCAUCUGGCUAGAGUCCGGAAGAGGAGAGUGGAAUUCCUGGAGUAGCGGUGAAAUGCGCAGAUAUCAGGAAGAACACCCGUGGCGAAGGCGGCUCUCUGGGACGGUACUGACGCUGAGACGCGAAAGCGUGGGGAGCGAACAGG
rnacentral:rRNA from 1 species